GACGAACGCUGGCGGCGUGCCUAAUACAUGCAAGUAGAACGCACAGUUUAUACCGUAGCUUGCUACACCAUAGACUGUGAGUUGCGAACGGGUGAGUAACGCGUAGGUAACCUGCCUGGCAGCGGGGGAUAACUAUUGGAAACGAUAGCUAAUACCGCAUAAUAUUAAUUAUUGCAUGAUAAUUAAUUGAAAGGUGCAAUUGCACCACUACCAGAUGGACCUGCGUUGUAUUAGCUAGUAGGUGAGGUAACGGCUCACCUAGGCGACGAUACAUAGCCGACCUGAGAGGGUGAUCGGCCACACUGGGACUGAGACACGGCCCAGACUCCUACGGGAGGCAGCAGUAGGGAAUCUUCGGCAAUGGACGAAAGUCUGACCGAGCAACGCCGCGUGAGUGAAGAAGGUUUUCGGAUCGUAAAGCUCUGUUGUAAGAGAAGAACGGGUGUGAGAGUGGAAAGUUCACACUGUGACGUUAUCUUACCAGAAAGGGACGGCUAACUACGUG
rnacentral:rRNA from 1 species